rnacentral:lncRNA from 1 species
UUUAAUCCUCUUCCCCAUAACAACGUACUAGCUAUAUAGCUAGCUAGUUCUUCUACUUCCCCAUGUCUCCAUCCCUCUACCUAGCUUAUCAUCCUAUAAAUUACUCCUCCUUUCACUCAUCACUCACCAAAAAGUUAGCUGAAGCUGAUCGAAGUUGAAGAUGAAGAAGAGCAGUGGAAAGAAGCGGUUCAUGUCGGUUAGGGGACUCGGAGGAGCACUCCGGCAGCAUAAGGCAAGACUGUAUAUCAUAAGACGGUGUGUUGUCAUGCUAGUUUGCUGGCAAGAGUGAAAACGUACAACGUCCGGAUCGGAACUCUAUAUGUUUAGCCGUAUGUUUAGGGUUAGGGUUCAUGUCGUUAUUUCUCUGUACUGCAUUGCAAUUUUAGAUUUCUUCGCUUAAUUUUCAUCGAUCUUCUUCUUCCUUCUUCUUCUUUUUCUCCUUCUUUAAUUUUGGCCCAGAUCAGAUUAAUUAGGUA